GGGGCUGAUCAUAAGCUUAGACGAAUUAUUAACAGGCAUCAGGCGUACCGAUUGAAUACCGUAAGUAUUAAAUAAGUGCUAAAAACACAAAAACAGCGCAUGUCAUGUACAUGCCUGCUUAUGCCUAAUUAUUUGUAGGCUGGUUUGCGUUCAAGGUUCCGUAGAGCGUAAAUUAUCAUACGACGGGAAUAUGGUUAUUUGGUUGGCAUAAAAUAGCAUGAAUUUCAGCCAUGGCAUUUAUCAGUUUCGUUUUCUGCAGCUGAUAAUAUAGUCCGAGACAAAACAGAAAACUAUGUGCGUAGAAUGGUGUCCAAGUGAUAAUCCGGACCCGGAGGCAGUAUCCGGCAGCUCCACCA
rnacentral:tmRNA from 1 species